AAACUUUUAACAACGGAUCUCUUGGUUCUGGCAUCGAUGAAGAACGCAGCGAAAUGCGAUAAGUAAUGUGAAUUGCAGAAUUCAGUGAAUCAUCGAAUCUUUGAACGCACAUUGCGCCCCCUGGUAUUCCGGGGGGCAUGC
rnacentral:rRNA from 4 species